AUAUCAUAUUGUUAAGUGUAUGCUAUUGCCUCUAGUUCCCCUAUUUUGUUAUAUAGGCUCCUUGCAUUAUUAAGCAUAUGUUUAUUACCAUGAGUCAUUUGUACUUUUUGUGAAUCAAUAUUACAUACCUCCUCUGUUCUGAGCUUUCCCCUCCCCCCAUCUCCACCCCCUUAUACUGAGCUAAAGCCCAUCUCCCUUCUAUCCUAUCUCCAUUUUCUAGAUUGCUUUGACCCUCCCCCCUACUACUAGUUUAAAAUCUCCUCCAAUCUAAUAGCCAUCCUAUCCCCAGCACAGCAGACCCUCUUCCGUUUAGGUGCAAUCCAUCACUGCUAUACAGGUUGUACGCAAGCGCAAAAUCGGCCCAGUGCUCUAAAAACCCAAAACCCUCUUUCCUGCACCAAGACUUCAGCCAUGCAUUGACCUCUCUAAUCUCCCGCUGCCUUUCUGCUGUAGCGCGUGGCACAGGUAAUAUUUCUGAAAAUAUUACCUUGGAGGUCCUUUUCUUUAGCUUACUUCCUGGUUCCCUGAACUCAUUCUUUAGGACCUUCCAUUUUCCUCUGACUUAGUCAUUGGUACCAAUAUGGAUCAUGACAACUGGGUCAUCCCCACCCCCUCCCAAUAAUCCCUCCAUUCUGUCGGCAACAUGCCGGACCCGAGCACCCGGGAGACAGCAAACUGUCCGGGUGAGUCGAUCAGAGUGGCAGAUUACCCUAUCUACUUUCCUAAUGAUAGUCCCCUACCACCACAACCUGUCUAGCCUUCCUUACAUUUUCAUCCCCACCCGUACUAGAGAGACGAUUCCCUCUGCUGUUAGUAACAGCUUCCUACAAUACAGCUACUCCUGAGCUGAUGCUCCCAACAUCUUCACUCAAAUCUGUUAGGCUGCACAAGAUCAGGACUAGCUAAACCUUUCCUCUUCCCUCCCUCCCCCGCUUCCUUGCCUCACUUUCACCCAGCUACGUGCCUGUUCACCAACCGUCUCAUCUCCUCCCACUCCACUACCUGCACCCACUAAACUCUGCUCAGUGAGCAGCAGACUCCUCUCAAGAUUGUCAAUUUCCCUCAAUGUUGUUUCCAGAGUUUCCAGAAAAGCCACUCACUCACACCUACCACAGAGAUAUGGACCCUGGAUAGAUUCAUCCAGGCAUGCAUACAUGCAGCAGGAUGUGCACUGGGUUAAACUCGCAAUCUUGCUAGCACUCAUCCCCAGUUACCAAAAACACAAAUGAGCAAAACAAUAUUUACCCUUUUGGUUUAAACUCGCUUAUAGUUUAAACUCCUGUUUCAACUGCUACUUAAGAGACUACUUGAAAUAGCCUACUUUCAAGCAAACUCCAGUGAGCAAGCUCUGUGAGUCAGUAGUAGGUUAAUAUUUAGAUAUAUUUUUAUAGAGAUGGAUAAUUUUGAGAUUUAAUGUUUCUAUAGAAAAGGAAAAAAAAAA